AUAUCUCUCUGUACGGGAAGGAUGAGAAGCUUCUACCAGGGUUCGAUUCGAGCGCAGCGAGAAAGCGUUGCCGCAGGCAACGACCC
rnacentral:sRNA from 3 species